rnacentral:rRNA from 1 species
AGGACGAACGCUGGCGGCGUGCUUAACACAUGCAAGUCGAGCGGUAAGGCCUUUCGGGGUACACGAGCGGCGAACGGGUGAGUAACACGUGGGUGAUCUGCCCUGCACUUCGGGAUAAGCCUGGGAAACUGGGUCUAAUACCGGAUAUGACCUCCUAUCGCAUGGUGGGUGGUGGAAAGAUUUAUCGGUGCAGGAUGGGCCCGCGGCCUAUCAGCUUGUUGGUGGGGUAAUGGCCUACCAAAGGCGACGACGGGUAGCCGACCUGAGAGGGUGACCGGCCACACUGGGACUGAGACACGGCCCAGACUCCUACGGGAGGCAGCAGUGGGGAAUAUUGCACAAAUGGGCGAAAAGCCUGAUGCAGCGACGCCGCGUGAGGGGAUGACGGGCCU